rnacentral:rRNA from 1 species
UACGUAGGCAGCAAGCGUUGUUCGGGGUUACUGGGCGUAAAGGGUGUGUAGGCGGUUUUUUAAGUUUGGUGUGAAAUCUCCCGGCUCAACUGGGAGGGUGCGCCGAAUACUGAAAGACUAGAGUGCGGGAGAGGAAAGUGGAAUUCCUGGUGUAGCGGUGAAAUGCGUAGAUAUCUGGAGGAACACCGGUGGCGAAGGCGGCAUCCUGGACCGGCAUUGACGCUGAGGCGCGAAAGCCAGGGGAGCAAACGGG